CCUACGGGGGGCAGCAGUGAGGAAUAUUGGUCAAUGGACGCGAGUCUGAACCAGCCAAGUAGCGUGCAGGAAGACUGCCCUACGGGUUGUAAACUUCUUUUAUAAAAGAAUAAAUUGAGACACGUGUACCUGGUUGUAUGUAUUUUAUGAAUAAGGAUCGGCUAACUCCGUGCCAGCAGCCGCGGUAAUACGGAGGAUCCGAGCGUUAUCCGGAUUUAUUGGGUUUAAAGGGUGCGUAGAUGGGUUGUUAAGUCAGUGGUGAAAGUUCGGGGCUCAACCGUAACAUUGCCAUUGAUACUGGCAGCCUUGAGUUCAGUUGCGGUAGGCGGAAUGCGUGGUGUAGCGGUGAAAUGCAUAGAUAUCAUGCAGAACUCCGAUUGCGAAGGCAGCCUACUAAACUGCCACUGACAUUGAUGCUCGAAAGUGUGGGUAUCAAACAGGAUUAGAUACCCGUGUAGUC
rnacentral:rRNA from 1 species